ensembl:lncRNA
GAGCCUGCUGCUGACAAUGGACCAAUCUCCUGCAGACCCCGUGGCAAGGUGAGCGGAUCAUCUGCUCCGGGAGGAACACUCCCACUGGCUCCGCCGGAGGACCGCAGCUUUACGCAUCGCUUCCCCGCGUCCUGAUGCUUCCACUGGGGCUCCGGCAGCGGCACCAGAACUGGACCCGAACUUCUUCUUCAUCGCUUUAAUGUGGGGGGGAAGCAGGGGGGAGGCUGUCCCCUCCCUCACCCCUCCAUCCUCACCCCUCCACCCCCAGCAGAGCACCGGUGUUCCGCCAUAAAUACGUCCGGACUGGAGGCUUCGGUUCCGGACGGAGCAGCUCCACCAGCCUGGAACAUCAGAGACCGACGGAGGCAGCAUCAUGCGUUAGAACCUGGUGUAUCUGUGGGAGUCGGGGGUCUGGAGGAGGAGCUGGGGGGUCUGGAGCUCAGGUUGCUAAUCAGAGGGGGAAUACCUGAACCAGGGCAGAGCCGUCGUCAAACAGUCCUCCCUUUGUGGCGGCCGAACGGAGGAAUGCGAUUGAGCCGGAGAUAUGGAGGGUUGCUGGGGGGGUUUCAGGUACACCAGGAGGUGAGGAGGGGGAGGCGCCUCUGGAAACCUGGAGGAACCAGAACCACUGUGAUCAGACUGAAAUUAAAUCAUGUCAACUCGGAGAGCGUUUAGAGAGAGUCUCAUCCUGUUUCUAAUCAUAUUCACUGUGUUUUUAUUUACAUCUAAGCUGAGGAACCUGAUUAUUGUCUCUGUGUUCUGGACAGUCGGUCUCAUUUCUCAGCCUCUGUGAUCUUCAGCAGCUCAGAUGUUCUCUGGAACCACAAUAAGCUGCUGUCCGACAUGUUAAAGCAGCUGUAAACACUCACUAAUUAUCUGCUCCGAGGUGUUUUCUGAUUAGCUGAGCUGGCUGCUGGACAGGACUUACAUGCAAAAUCCUCAAAUUAUUACAGAACUGAAGGUUCUUCCUCAGAUUAUAGCUGACAAGACGGUUUAAAGCAUACCAUUAUAAUUCAGAUUUACACUAUCGUUAAAGUUUAGGGUCAAAGGAGUCACAUGAAAUACAGUAAAAUACAAUAAAGAUAUUGAAAAAAUAUAGUAAAAAUAUAGUAAACAUAUAGCAAAAAAUACAGUAAAAUACAGCAAAGAUAUAGUAAAACUACACUAAAAAUACAGUAUAAAUACAGUAAAAAUAUAGUAAAAAUUGUAUUAUUAUUUUAAAAAUAUAUAAUCAAAAAAGGAAAAAUCUCAUAAAACAGUAAAAAUACUGUAAAAAUAUAGUAAAAAUACAGUAAAAAAUAUAGAAAAACAUUUUUAAAUAUAGUAUAAAUACAGUAAAACAUAGUAAAAAUGCAGUAAAAAAAUACAGAAAACCAUAUUUUAAAAAUAUAUUAAAAAUAUAGUAAAACAUAGUAAAAAUGUAGUAAAUUUUUGUAAAAAUACAGUAAAAAAAUUGUAAAACAUUAAAAUGCAGUUAAAAU